rnacentral:rRNA from 1 species
GGCAACCCUGACGGAGCACGCCGCGUGAGGGAGGAAGGCCUUAGGGUUGUAAACCUCUUUUCUCUGGGAAGAAGAACUGACGGUACCAGAGGAAUAAGCCUCGGCUAACUCCGUGCCAGCAGCCGCGGUAAGACGGAGGAGGCAAGCGUUAUCCGGAAUUAUUGGGCGUAAAGCGUCCGUAGGUGGCUUUUCAAGUCGGCGGUCAAAGACCGGGGCUUAACUCCGGAAAGGCCGUGGAAACUGAAAGGCUAGAGAAAGGUAGGGGUAGGGGGAAUUCCCGGUGUAGCGGUGAAAUGCGUAGAGAUCGGGAAGGACACCGGUGGCGAAAGCGCCCUACUGGACCUUAUCUGACACUGAGGGACGAAAGCUAGGGGAGCG